rnacentral:rRNA from 1 species
AUGGCUCAGGAUGAACGCUGGCGGCGUGCCUAACACAUGCAAGUCGAGCGAUUCUCUUCGGAGAAGAGCGGCGGACGGGUGAGUAACGCGUGGGUAACCUGCCUCAUACACAUGGAUAACAUACCGAAAGGUAUGCUAAUACAGGAUAACAUAAGAGAUUCACAUGGAUUUCUUAUCAAAGCUCCGGCGGUAUGAGAUGGACCCGCGUCUGAUUAGCUAGUUGGUAAGGUAACGGCUUACCAAGGCGACGAUCAGUAGCCGACCUGAGAGGGUGAUCGGCCACAUUGGAACUGAGACACGGUCCAAACUCCUACGGGAGGCAGCAGUGGGGAAUAUUGCACAAUGGGCGAAAGCCUGAUGCCAGCAACGCCGCGUGAGUGAUGAAGGCUUUCGGGUCGUAAAACUCUGUCCUCAAGGAAGAUAAUGACGGUACUUGAGGAGGAAGCCCCGGCUAACUACGUGCCAGCAGCCGC